GGUCCCUCGCGACGCUAGAUCGAAAAUCCCGCCAGGGCCGGAAGGCAGCAACGGUAUCGAUUGAUGCGGGCGCCGAGGU
rnacentral:SRP_RNA from 1 species